rnacentral:lncRNA from 1 species
UAGGGGAAGUCCCUGUGGUCACCCCAACCCUCCUGUUUGAGAACUUGGAAACGGUCGAGAUCCCCACACCAAAACAAUAUAUAUUCAUGUAUGGGCCAAUAUAACUAAUAAAUGAAAUAUAGGGGGAGUCCCUGGGGUCACCCUACCCCUCCUGUUUGAGAACUUGGAAACCAAUGAGAUCCCCACCCCUAAACCAUAUAUAUUCAUGUAUGGGACGAUAUAGCAAAUAAAAUGAAAUGUAGGGGAAGUCCCUAGGGUCACCCUACCCCCAGUGGCGGAUCCAGAAAUUGUCAUAAGUGGGGCCCGCUCCAGUCACGCUUCAGUGAUUCCCUAUAUAAGCAAUCAAUUUUUUUCCCAAAAAGGGGGGCCGGGCCCCUGCCCCCCUAAAUCCUCUGCCGACCCCUACCUGUUUGAAACUUGAAAACCGUUGAGAUCCCCACCC